AUGGGGAUUUGCCAUGGGCGAAACCUGAUGCAGCCUGCCGCGUGUAUGAAGAAGGCCUUCGGGUUGUAAAGUACUUUCAGUUGUGAGGAAGGGGGUAGUGUUAAUAGCGCUAUCUCUUGACGUUAGCAACAGAAGAAGCACCGGCUAACUCCGUGCCAGCAGCCGCGGUAAUACGGAGGGUGCGAGCGUUAAUCGGAAUUACUGGGCGUAAAGCGCAUGCAGGUGGUUCAUUAAGUCAGAUGUGAAAGCCCGGGGCUCAACCUCGGAACUGCAUUUGAAACUGGUGAACUAGAGUACUGUAGAGGGGGGUAGAAUUUCAGGUGUAGCGGUGAAAUGCGUAGAGAUCUGAAGGAAUACCAGUGGCGAAGGCGGCCCCCUGGACAGAUACUGACACUCAGAUGCGAAAGCGUGGGGAGCAAACAGGAUUAGAUACCCUGGUAGUCCACGCCGUAAACGAUGUCUACUUGGAGGUUGUGGCCUUGAGCCGUGGCUUUCGGAGCUAACGCGUUAAGUAGACCGCCUGGGGAGUACGGUCGCAAGAUUAAAACUCAAAUGAAUUGACGGGGGCCCGCACAAGCGGUGGAGCAUGUGGUUUAAUUCGAUGCAACGCGAAGAACCUUACCUACUCUUGACAUCCAGAGAAGCCAGCGGAGACGCAGGUGUGC
rnacentral:rRNA from 1 species